CCUACGGGUGGCAGCAGUGGGGAAUAUUGCACAAUGGGGGAAACCCUGAUGCAGCGACGCCGCGUGAGUGAAGAAGUAUUUCGGUAUGUAAAGCUCUAUUAGUAGGGAAGUAAACGACGGUACCUGAUUAAGAAGCCCCGUCUAACUACGUGCCAGCUGCCGCGGUAAUACGUAGGGGGCCAGCGUUAUCCGGAUUUACUGGGUGUAAAGGGAGCGUAGACGGCAGCACAAGUCUGGAGUGAAAUGCCGGGGCUUAACCCCGGAACUGCUUUGGAGACUGUGCAGCUAGAGUGCAGGAGAGGUAGGUGGAAUUGCUGGUGUAGCGGUGAAAUGCGUAGAGAUUAGGAGGAACACCAGUGGCGAAGGCGGCUUACUGGACUGUAACUGACGUUGAGGCUCGAAAGCGUGGGGAGCAAACAGGAUUAGAUACCCUUGUAGUC
rnacentral:rRNA from 1 species